rnacentral:rRNA from 1 species
UACGGAGGAUCCAAGCGUUAUCCGGAUUUAUUGGGUUUAAAGGGUGCGUAGGCGGCCUGUUAAGUCAGGGGUGAAAGACGGUAGCUCAACUAUCGCAGUGCCUUUGAUACUGACGGGCUUGAAUGAACUAGAGGUAGGCGGAAUGUGACAAGUAGCGGUGAAAUGCAUAGAUAUGUCACAGAACACCGAUUGCGAAGGCAGCUUACUAUGGUUUUAUUGACGCUGAGGCACGAAAGCGUGGGGAUCAAACAGG